rnacentral:rRNA from 1 species
UACGUAGGGUGCAAGCGUUGUCCGGAAUUAUUGGGCGUAAAGGGCUCGUAGGCGGUCCAUCACGUCGGGAGUGAAAAGCUGGGGCUUAACCCCAGUCCUGCUUCCGAUACGGGUGGACUAGAGGUAUGCAGGGGAGAACGGAAUUCAUGGUGUAGCGGUGAAAUGCGCAGAUAUCAGGAGGAACACCGGUGGCGAAGGCGGUUCUCUGGGCAUUACCUGACGCUGAGGAGCGAAAAGUGUGGGGAGCGAACAGG